rnacentral:rRNA from 1 species
AUUGAACGCUGGCGGCAGGCUUAACACAUGCAAGUCGAGCGGAGAUGAGGUGCUUGCACCUUAUCUUAGCGGCGGACGGGUGAGUAAUGCUUAGGAAUCUGCCUAUUAGUGGGGGACAACAUUCCGAAAGGAAUGCUAAUACCGCAUACGUCCUACGGGAGAAAGCAGGGGAUCUUCGGACCUUGCGCUAAUAGAUGAGCCUAAGUCGGAUUAGCUAGUUGGUGGGGUAAAGGCCUACCAAGGCGACGAUCUGUAGCGGGUCUGAGAGGAUGAUCCGCAACACUGGGACUGAGACACGGCCCAGACUCCUACGGGAGGCAGCAGUGGGGAAUAUUGGACAAUGGGGGGAACCCUGAUCCAGCCAUGCCGCGUGUGUGAAGAAGGCCUUAUGGUUGUAAAGCACUUUAAGCGAGGAGGAGGCUACUGAGACUAAUACUCUUGGAUAGUGGACGUUACUCGCAGAAAAAGCACCGGCUAACUCUGUGCCAGCCGCCGCAGUAACAC